rnacentral:tRNA from 1 species
UCUACCAAAGGAUAGAAGUAUUCCACUGGUCUUAGGCAUCAAACUUCUUGGUGCAAAUCCAAGUGGUAGAA